rnacentral:lncRNA from 1 species
GGAAUGGCGGAUGGCGGUGGCUUUUAAAAAUAAGACAUAUUUUAAGGCAAUUACAUGAAAAAGAACGUGUGCUCUCAAUAAAAAUGUAUUGUACAAUCAACAAGGCGGACUAACUUAUUAUGGAUUUUGUAGAUAAUGGGUCUAUUGAAUUGAAUAAAAAGAAGUACCUACCUAUUUGCUUUUACUUCCUCGUAUUUAAGUAUUUACUUAAUAGUAAUUAAAUAAAGCAUUAAAGAAAUUACUUUAUUCAAUUACUAUUAAGUAAAUAGUAAGGUGACCAACAACUGUACUCAUUUACUGAGUUUUGUACUCUAUUUUCGCAAACCGUACUCUUUUCAAAUUCUGUACUCAUUUGUAUAAUUUUAUACUCAUUGUGAACGGAUAGAAUGGAUAGUGAACUUUAGAACAUUACAUUGCUUCAAUUGGACCCUAAACAGUAAAAUUGAAUGGAAAGAAUUUUCUUUAGCAGUCGAAUUUGUAAUGAAGGAAGUACCUAAAAGAUAUUGUUAUUAAUAACCAUUUUCUCUUUGAAGAAAUUCGAAGAGUAAAUUUAUAUUUAAAUGAAGAAAAAUUGAAGAAAUGGAACAAUGAGAAAAUAGAACUUGAAAAAAGAUGUGCAGAAAUCCUUCGGCAUUUUAGAGUAGAACAUAUCCUACAUGAAAAUUUAAAAGUGUUAAUAGAAAUUUGUUUAUGUUGUUCAGACCCUAAUUAAUGCUGCUGUUGAAAGGGUAUUUUCACUAGGGAAUGAUUAUUGGAGCAGUGAGAAGUCGCAACUUUCUGUAAAAAUAUUAUCUGCCGUCUUAACAGUCAAAUUUAAUAUGCAAAAUAAAAGUUGUUCGGAUGUGGCUACAUUAUUAUAGGAACAUCCUCGUUUAGCAAAAAAA